GUGCCGUAGCUCGGAUUGUUCUCUGCAACUUGGGAGCAUGAAGUCGGAAUCACUAGGCUUCUUGUUGGCUAGUCAUAUAUCUGAAGUUAUCCUUCAUGAAGCUGGUGUCACCAUAAACUAGCAUAUUAUAGUUUGAAAAAGUAUAUUCCACGCCCUUGGGUUUGACAGUUCUAUUUGUGUGAUCCGAGAGCCAACUGGACAUGGAGGUUACCGCAGAAACUAGUGAAUGGGUAACACAAAGUGUGUCAUAAGUAUUUGAAUUUGAAGUCAUGUUUCCUGAAUUUAGUAGUAAAAAAGGGAUUAUCAGAUGAUGUAUGAAAUGGAUAAUUUUGUUGGAAUUAUUUUAUAAAACUAUAAUCAUUAUGUCGUUUGGCUAGUACUCUUUGGUGACGGCCUUGCUUUAAUUCGUUAGAACUUUUUGGAAAAACCCUGAUUGCUGUAAUUCUGCGGUGCCACUACGCCUAUCUCCUCUGAAAACCUUUGUCAUUCAUUGCUGUUUUCUAGUCCCCCAAGUGGUUUUAGUUCCUUAGGCAUAUAUAUGCAUAUAUAUGUGUGUGUGUAUUAAUAGGUUAUAUACAAUGUCUUUGGAUUUUUAUUAGAUUGAUUUUAAUCUUUUUGCAUUAAAGUUAGCAUGACUAAAUUUCAAUUCCAAUUUAAAGUUUUUAGGCUGAUAUGAGAGUUUGGAGUUGUUACAUAUGGCUAUUGCAGCUAUAAUUGCAAUAUCUUCAUAUUUCCAAUUCAAAUUUAUAGCAUUGAAAAUAUUGUUAGAUAUGGGUGCUGAGGUUAAUAUUUUAAAAAUAAAAUUAUCUUUUCUGGUUAAGUUCAUAUGCUAAAGUGAAAAUCUUGAGUUGUUAAAUAUCUGUAUUGGAGAUAAAUUUCGAAACUUCUUGUUCUUGUUUUUAAUGAACUAUUAGCAAGUUAGAGCUGUGAAAGUGCUCACUGAUCUUGAAGUGGGUAUGUAUUGGGGAGACAUGGGAAUUAUUAUUUUGAUGCUGCAACUUGGAGGAGUGACAAGACAAGUGUGAGUAUGACAAGGUUGAGAUGUUGGGUCUAGCAUUCUUAGGCAGAGGACUAUGGAUUGGAAUUUUUGAUUCUGUGAGGAAUUCUGUCACACCCAGUUAUGUUCUAAUACCUCUAGUCUUCCUAGAAUAUUUGGGAUGACCACUUCUCCUAUAAAGACUAAAGCUGUCAACAACUUGAUGCUUUCUCUAUCUUGUUUUGUCUAUUUUACAGUAUGCUGAUUGGUCUACAAUUUCAGACUUACUAAUUAUUUUCUCAACAUCUAGGCUCAACAUCAACAUGGUCCUGUUGGAAAAAUAUCAAUGAUCUAGAGACUCUUAUGAACUGAAAGGUACACAUGCGUUAGUGAUACUGUAAUAUUGGCUGGAUUUGUACCAUUCUCAACUUCCAAGUUGCCAUCUUAUGAAGACAUGAAUAUCUCAUGUGCCUUAUUUGAGACUUUAGCACAUCAAUUAACGAUUUUGAAGCAUUAAAAUUCUCUAGAAAGCUUGAAUCUCUGAGAAUCUACAAAGGAAUCUGCUAAGGAAUGGAUAUCCAAGCUAUUUUCAGCAUCUUUGUUUUGUAUGAAUGACCUUGGGCUUUUGUUGGCUUUAAAGACUGCAGAGUUCUUAUCAUGUGAUGAAAUGGGUUUCUUUUGCUGGGGACAGUUGGAUCUGUAUGGUGAGAAAAUAAUUAAAAUUUUCAAUGAGGAUGCACACUAAGUGAUCUCAACAUAUAUACCAUCUAGUACUUCUACUUCUAAGUUGACGGCUGUGAAACUUUGCAAAAGAUUAAAAUUUCUCUUCAACGGCUUAAAAGCUUUGAGUUGCUUCGAUGUCUCAAUAUAGUAGAUGCAGAGCUUGAUGCUCCAAAUCUUCUUUCAUUCACAUACUGUGGUUGGACCCCGCCCUCAACUCCAUUGGCUACUUUGAGAUGCUCGGAUCUGCCUCAUGCUAGGGUCUCAUGGCAGCCAAUUGUUACAACUGCUAAGUCUUCUAUUGCGUCAAGGAAUUUUCUCGCACUUUUUAAUCACUGUGAAGUUCUAACUCUGGUCUGUUUCAAAGCAUCAGCGUUUUCUUGAAGAGCUGGAUGGGAGCUGGCUUCGUCCAUUAUAUGAUCUCAAGCAUCUGAGGGUAGAAAUAGGUUACUUGGUUGCAAGUUUUAAAAACUGGAAGGAUGGCUGUUCUGUAGUGCCGAAUUGGCAGCCAGUAAAAUAUACAAAAUUGGUGGAUAGGUUGCUUCAGCUUUGUCCUCAUCCCGAUACCUUGGUGAUUGCUAAUGACCAUCUGCAGAUGUUGGUAGAGUUCCAAUAUGCAGAGAGAGCAGUGGAAGACAAUGCAGACUGCUGCUGCAGGGGCUGGCUUAGGAAGUGUUGGCGACACGACUUGAAUGUUACACUAUGGAGGUUCAAACACAAUGAUCAGGAGAGUCUGGUGAAGUUCUUCAUCAACAAUGGGAAGAUGUUGGAGACAAUUACAGUUGAUAGGAAAACCUUCAAAGUAGUCCAAGGCAAGUGAUUGUGUCUAGUUGGCAAUUGAGAAGCUGAACUCAUCUUUAUCUAGUUGGCGUCAUUAUCUAAUGUUCUGUUCUGUUUGGUUGUUGAGAAAGACAAAGAAAAUGAUAUAAGAACUUAAAAUCUUUUGAGAACUUUCCUCUUUGUACUGAAAAACAGAUGGCGUGAGUGUUGAAAUGCCAGUGAUCUGGGCAUCCCUUUUGAAUAAGGCAUUGGAAAAUGCAGGAGCAGAGCUUUGGAUUCUUUGUUUUCAUACUCACAUGUAUGUAGUUAAAUAUUUCAUGGGCUA